UACGUAGGGUGCAAGCGUUAAUCGGAAUUACUGGGCGUAAAGCGUGCGCAGGCGGCUUUGCAAGACAGAUGUGAAAUCCCCGGGCUUAACCUGGGAACUGCAUUUGUGACUGCAUGGCUGGAGUGCGGCAGAGGGGAUGGAAUUCCGCGUGUAGCAGUGAAAUGCGUAGAUAUGCGGAGGAACACCGAUGGCGAAGGCAAUCCCCUGGGCCUGCACUGACGCUCAUGCACGAAAGCGUGGGAGCAAACAGG
rnacentral:rRNA from 1 species